UGGGGAAUUUUGCACAAUGGGGGAAACCCUGAUGCAGCGACGCCGCGUGAUUUAGAAGGCCUUCGGGUUGUAAAAAUCUUUUCUAUGGGAAGAAAAUGACAGUACCAUAGGAAUAAGGACCGGCUAAUUACGUGCCAGCAGCCGCGGUAAUACGUAAGGUCCGAGCGUUGUCCGGAAUCAUUGGGCGUAAAGGGUACGUAGGCGGGUAAGCAAGUUAGAAGUGAAAUCCUAUAGCUCAACUAUAGUAAGCUUUUAAAACUGCUCAUCUUGAGGUAUGGAAGGAAAAGUGGAAUUCCUAGUGUAGCGGUGAAAUGCGCAGAUAUUAGGAGGAAUACCGGUGGCGAAGACGACUUUCUGGCCAUAACCUGACGCUGAGGUACGAAAGCGUGGGUAGCAAACAGG
rnacentral:rRNA from 1 species